AUGUACUGGAUGAUUCUUCUAGGUCUGUGAAGUCGAUGAAAUCUGUAGAGGCAAGAAAUGAAGAGUCGAGAAUAUCAACUGAUUCGUUAUAGUUCUGAAAAAAUAAGUCUGUCUGAUGCGUUGAAGGUAUUGUGAAAGUUUCUGAACUGACAAGGAGAAAAUGGUUUUACAGAGACUGAAUGCCUGGCUAAUGGUCGCUCCAGUAAAGAAUAGUUUAAAAAUUGUCAGAUAUUGGCAAUUAUUACUUAAUAGAAUCCUUCUAAUAUGGCUUUGUAAUACUUAAUUUAUUGAUUCAUUUAUUAUUAUUUUUUUUUUCCGUGGUUACUACAAAGGUGCAGCUGGAAUAGAAAACCGACGAACACAUUUAUGUAUACAACUUAACCUCGAUAAAGAAUUUUUUCCAUUUUUA